ACACAUGCAAGUCGAGCGGAUGAAGAGAGCUUGCUCUCUGAUUCAGCGGCGGACGGGUGAGUAAUGCCUAGGAAUCUGCCUGGUAGUGGGGGACAACGUCUCGAAAGGGACGCUAAUACCGCAUACGUCCUACGGGAGAAAGCAGGGGACCUUCGGGCCUUGCGCUAUCAGAUGAGCCUAGGUCGGAUUAGCUAGUUGGUGAGGUAAUGGCUCACCAAGGCGACGAUCCGUAACUGGUCUGAGAGGAUGAUCAGUCACACUGGAACUGAGACACGGUCCAGACUCCUACGGGAGGCAGCAGUGGGGAAUAUUGGACAAUGGGCGAAAGCCUGAUCCAGCCAUGCCGCGUGUGUGAAGAAGGUCUUCGGAUUGUAAAGCACUUUAAGUUGGGAGGAAGGGUUGUAGAUUAAUACUCUGCAAUUUUGACGUUACCGACAGAAUAAGCACCGGCUAACUCUGUGCCAGCAGCCGCGGUAAUACAGAGGGUGCAAGCGUUAAUCGGAAUUACUGGGCGUAAAGCGCGCGUAGGUGGUUUGUUAAGUUGGAUGUGAAAGCCCCGGGCUCAACCUGGGAACUGCAUUCAAAACUGACAAGCUAGAGUAUGGUAGAGGGUGGUGGAAUUUCCUGUGUAGCGGUGAAAUGCGUAGAUAUAGGAAGGAACACCAGUGGCGAAGGCGACCACCUGGACUGAUACUGACACUGAGG
rnacentral:rRNA from 1 species